AUUGAACGCUAGCGGGAGGCUUUACACAUGCAAGUCGAACGAGUGGCGGACGGGUGAGUAAUGUAUCGGAAAGUGCCCAGUGGCGGGGGAUAACUACUGGAAACAGUGGCUAAUACCGCAUACGAUUGGAGCGGCCGAUAUCGGAUUAGCUAGUUGGUGGGGUAAAGGCUCACCAAGGCAACGAUCCGUAGCUGGUUUGAGAGGAGGACCAGCCACACUGGAACUGAGACACGGCCCAGACUCCUACGGGAGGCAGCAGUGGGGAAUUUUGGACAAUGGGCGAAAGCCUGAUCCAGCCAUCCCGCGUGUAUGAGAAGGCCUUCGGGUUGUAAAGUACUUUCGGCAGGGAGGCGGUACCUGCAGAAUAAGCACCGGCUAACUACGUGCCAGCAGCCGCGGUAAUUC
rnacentral:rRNA from 1 species